rnacentral:rRNA from 1 species
GAUGAACGCUGGCGGCGUGCUUAACACAUGCAAGUCGAACGGGGAUCUGACCAGCUUGCUGGUUGGUGAGAGUGGCGAACGGGGUAAGUAAUGCGUGACCAACCUGCCCCAUGCUCCAGAAUAGCUCUUGGAAACGGGUGGUAAUGCUGGAUGCUCCAACUUGACGCAUGUCUUGUUGGGGAAAAGUGUUUAGUGGCAUGGGGAUGGGGUCGCGUCCUAUCAGCUUGUAGGCGGGGUAAUGGCCCACCUAGGCUUCGACGGGUAGCCGGCCUGAGAGGGCGGACGGCCACAUUGGGACUGAGAUACGGCCCAGACUCCUACGGGAGGCAGCAGUGGGGAAUAUUGCGCAAUAGGGGAAAACCCUGACGCAGCGACGCCGCGUGCGGGAUGAAGGCCUUCGGGUUGUAAACCGCUUUUGAUUGGGGAGCAAGCCUUUGGGUGAGUGUACCUUUCGAAUAGGCGCCGGGCUAACUACGUGCCCAGCAGCCGCGGGUAAAUA